rfam:Aedes albopictus isolate Foshan contig140611, whole genome shotgun sequence.
UGCCCAGCAACUCCUAUCCCUACCUCCACGCAAUACCGGCCGGAAACUAUGAGCAACCUUAGGGAAGAUCGGGUAACCAACCCCGGUGGAAACUUUGGUCUUAGGCUGACAGGGAAGG